rnacentral:lncRNA from 1 species
UAGGAACUCCACGCUCACAACCCAAAAGGCUUGAUUAGCUUGUACUUCUAAUGUCUCCUAUCUUUGAUGUAGUAAGUAUGGACCCAUACAGUCCGUAACUUAUCCUAUCUCUUAGCCAAAUCCCACAGAUAGUUGAGUAUUACUUCUUUGUUCCACACAUACACAUCUGUAAUAUCCAGGCCUCCAACAACUUUUGGUUAACAAAUUGUAUCCCAUGCUACAAGAGCUUUCCCUUUAGUUUGUGUAUCACCAUUCCAUAGGAAUCUCUUGCAUAUCGCUUCUACCUACUGCAACACUUUUUGGGGAGUAAGAAUAUUUGCGCCCAGAAUGCUUGAAUGGAAGUUAGCAAAGUUUGUGCCAGAUAAAGCCUCUCUGCAUAAGAUAGAAAUUUCGUAGUCCAUGUGUUUUUUCUUCCUAGCGUCCUGUCUAGAAGUGGUUGACAUUGGCUUAUUGACAAUUUUUGGAGCUUAGAGGGACUCCAAGAUAUCUAAAUGGUAAAUUUCCUUUUACGAAGCCUGUAUGUUGCAAUAUCAAAUGUUGUUCUUGUUCUGACACUCCACCCAAAUAUACACAACUUUUGGCCUGAUUUGCUAUUAAACCUGAUGCUUGUGAAAAUUGCUGAAAGCAUUCUUACAAUAGGACAGUUGAUUGGGCAUCUCCUCUGCUAAACAAAAGAAGAUCAUCAGCAAAACUCAAUUGUAUGAUCUGUUGUUUAUGGCAUCUUCGAUGAUUUGAUUCUGAGCUUUCCUUCCUUUCAUACUUGCAAAGAAAUAUGCAGUAUUUGAGUCAACCAAUUUGAGCCAUUGCAUUCGAGACUUUUACUUAUAGAUGGACUCUUCAAUCAAGCUCCAUUUGGUCAAUUGUGCCCUCAUCUCGUUCUCUUCUUCUAUCAUGUGUUGUGGAAUAGGUGUAUUUUGCAUUUGAUUCUGUUUAGCCACAAGUGCUCUUCGUAUCUGCUGAACCUUUCCUGUGACCCCUGCAAACUCCUUUUUGCUUAAAUGUUGCAAUUCUCUUCUUACAAUCUUCAGAUUAUUCCACACCCCCUGCAUUCCUCCAUUUUGUCUCUGCCAGCUUGUCUGUAUUUUGGGUUUGAAAUCAGGGUGUUGUGCUAAGCAGUAAUAAAAUCUAAAUGGCUUCUUCCUUACGUCCCUUUGUGAUUCUACUUCCAUACUCAAAGGGGAGUGGUCUGAAAAGAGGAGGUCGAUCACCAUCACUUGUAAUGGUGGCAUUCUGAUUACCCAUUCAUCAUUCACCAGUGCUCUGUCUAUCCUGCUAAAUACAUGCCCAUUAUUCCAUGUAUAUUGUCUCCCUACUGUGUGUAGUUCUCUGAUAUUACUGUGAAUCAUGAAUUCUCUAAAAUCAUUGGUUUCUGCCAGUUGUACUUGACUCCCAAUGGGUCUAUCCUCUUAUGCCAAAAUUGAGUUAAAAUCUCCCAUGAUCAGCCAUGGUUUCCUGAUGUGUGUGCUCAGUUGGUUUACCUUUUCCCAUAAUGAGCUACUGGUAGCUAUGCUUUGCAAGCCAUAUACUGCUGUUAACAAAAAUUUAAAACCACUUUGUUGCAUAUCUACCAUGCAAUGUACAUAUUGAAUUGAUGAUUCCACCCUUGUGAAUUUGACCAUACUAUUUUCCAUACAAUCCAAUUUUUGCCUCUAACUUCAUUUGUAGCAUUUGUGCACCACAACAAUCCUGGCAUUAUUUUAUUGAUAAUACUCCCAACUUUCUCUUUUUUAACUCUAUGUUUGAAAAUUGCUAUAAUGGUUACUUUAUUCCUCUUAACAAACAACCUUAGCUCCUGGUGUUUGACUUUUUGUUGAACCCCCUAACAUUCCAGGCUGUUGUUUUUUUAAUAAAGAAAUUAAGAAAAUAAGAGACAAAGAUUUUGAGAGAAAAAUACUUCAGUAUUAUCAAAAGGAAUUAUUUUAUUAAUAAUCAAAAGACUUACAUUUAUAGAUAUAAUUUUUAACUAAAAAUAUAAAAAUAUGUUACUAACUUAUCAGUAAAAUUCAAAUCAUAUAUUAUUAUAAGCAUGAAGCUCAAAAUUUAAAAGUUGAAUUACUAUUUUGCCCCUCUAAUAAAUUAAAACUUUUAUAAUUUUCAUAUAUAUAAUCUUCUUAUUCUCAUUCCCUAAUCAUGAUCUUUCAAAUUUCUAACACAAAUGUAAAUAAAAUAAAAAUGAGUAAUUAUUCCUUAUAGACAAGAAAUUAAAGUAGAUUCAUGUAUCUUUAAAAUUAAAUUUCAUCUCUAUCUUUUUUAUAUUUAUUUUAACAAAGUAGAUUCAUGUAUCUUUAAAAUUAAAUUUCAUCUCUAUCUUUUUUAUAUUUAUUUUAACAAUAAUUCAUGUGACUUUUCAUGUUUCCAAAAUUUUGUUCUAUAAAUUUAACUUUUUCAAGAAAAACUUUUAUUUACCACUCCUACAAUUCUUGGUGUAGGAACUCUAAACAUGUGAAAUAAUGUCACAAUUUGUGGUGAAAGUUGUGAGAUUCCCUUCUGCAGUCACGAGAAUAGACAAGAAUUCAAUUACUGAAGCAUCGGAGCUCGAUGUGUUAGUUCUAUACUUAUUUGUAGUAAGAAUUAUAAUAAGACUUUUUUGUCUCUCUUCAUAUAGCUGAAUUCUUAUUUUAUUAGCAAAUUGCUCUAAAUUCAUAUUUGUAUUUUGUAUGCUCAAAUGUUCAGUUUCACUAUGGAGACAAAAAUAAAAUGAAAUGCCUAAUUAUCUUGCUCA